AUGGCUUUUAAAGACACUGGCAAGACACCCAUGGAGCCAGAGGUGGCGAUUAUCCAAAUUAGGAUCACCCUUGCCAGCCGCAACGUGAAAUCUCUGGAUAAAGUGUGAGCUGACCUAAUCAAAGGUGCAAAGGAAAAGAAUUUCAAAGUGAAAGGACCGGUUCGCAUGUCUGCCAAGACUUUGAGAAUCACUACAAGAAAUACUCCUUGUGGUGAAGGUUCCAAGACAUGGCAUCGUUUCCAGAUGAGAAUUCACAAGCCACUCAUUGACUUGCACAGUCCUUCCGAGAUUGUCAAACAGAUUACUUCCAUCAGUAUAGAGCUGGGAGUUGAGGUUGAAGUCACCAUUGCAGAUGCUUAAGUCAAGUAUUUUAUAGAUUGAUUACACUUGUUAAAAAAAA